rnacentral:tRNA from 1 species
GCGGCGGUGGCCGAGGCGGGGGCCAGCGCCCUGCUCGCCGGCGAGGGACUCUACGGGUUCGUGCCUGACGAUCUCGUCGUGGCCUGCCGUG